rnacentral:lncRNA from 1 species
GAGCUUCGGCGUCCGUGACGGCGCUGCCGCCCGGAUCUGGCGUCCGCUGCCUGCCCGACGCAGAUCCGCCGCCGCCGGGUCGCUCCGUCGCCGUCGGAGUCGUGCCGUCGUCGCCUGCCGCCAUUCCCGUGCUCCGUCGCCGUGCUCGCGAGGGGGAGGGGAGGGGAGAGAGGGAGAGGAGAGAGAGUUGUCAGGAAAUUAAAAAAAUGUUUUGUGCUCACG